rnacentral:rRNA from 1 species
GUGCCAGCCGCCGCGGUAAUUCCAGCUCCAAUAGCGUAUAUUAAAGUUGUUGUGGUUAAAAAGCUCGUAGUUGAACCUUGGGCCUGGCUGGCCGGUCCGCCUCACCGCGUGCACUGGUCCGGCCGGGCCUUUCCCUCUGUGGAACCCCAUACCCUUCACUGGGCGUGGCGGGGAAACAGGACAUUUACUUUGAAAAAAUUAGAGUGCUCCAGGCAGGCCUAUGCUCGAAUACAUUAGCAUGGAAUAAUAAAAUAGGACGCGCGGUUCUAUUUUGUUGGUUUAUAGGACCGCCGUAAUGAUUAAUAGGGACAGUCGGGGGCAUCAGUAUUCACCUGUCAGAGGUGAAAUUCUUGGAUCAGUUGAAGACUAACUACUGCGAAAGCAUUUGCCAAGGAUGUUUUCAUUAAUCAGGAACGAAAGUUAGGGGAUCGAAGACGAUCAGAUACCGUCGUAGUCUUAACCAUAAACUAUGCCGACUAGGGAUCGGACGGUGUUAUUCAUGACCCGUUCGGCACCUUACGAGAAAUCAAAGUGCUUGGGCUCCAGGGGGAGUAUGGUCGCAAGGCUGAAACUUAAAGAAAUUGACGGAAGGGCACCACCAGGGGUGGAGCCUGCGGCUUAAUUUGACUCAACACGGGGAAACUCACCAGGUCCAGACACAAUAAGGAUUGACAGAUUGAGAGCUCUUUCUUGAUUUUGUGGGUGGUGGUGCAUGGCCGUUCUUAGUGGUGGGGUGACUUGUCUGCUAGUGCGAUACGACGAGACCUUACCUGCUAAAUAGCCCGCAUUGCUCCGGCAGUGCGCUGGCUUCUUAGAGGGACUUUC